rnacentral:rRNA from 1 species
UACGGAGGGAGCUAGCGUUGUUCGGAAUUACUGGGCGUAAAGCGCGCGUAGGCGGCUUUGUAAGUUAGAGGUGAAAGCCCGGGGCUCAACCCCGGAACUGCCUUUAAAACUGCAUCGCUUGAAUCCGGGAGAGGUGAGUGGAAUUCCGAGUGUAGAGGUGAAAUUCGGUAGAUAUUCGGAAGAACACCAGUGGCGAAGGCGGCUCACUGGACCGGUAUUGAC